GACGAACGCUGGCGGCGUGCCUAAUACAUGCAAGUCGAACGCAGUGGGGACGGGUGAGUAACCCGUGGCUAACCUCCCAUCAGAGGUGAUAACACUUGGAAACACGUGCUAUACCGAUAUUGAUUGUUGGACCCGUGGUGCAUUAGCUAGUUGGUGAGGUGACGGCUCACCAAGGCCACGAUGCAUAGACGAGCUGAGAGGGUGAGCGGCCACACGGGGACAGAGACACGGACCAGACUCCUACGGGAGGAAGCAGUGGGGAAUCUUGGGAGAUGGACGAAAGUCUGACCGAGCAACGCAGCGUGAGUGAAGAGGGUAUUCGGAUCGUAAAACUCUGUUGUUAGAGAAGCGGUAGCUAAACAGAAAGCCACGGCUAACUACGUGCCAGCAGCCGCGGUAAUUC
rnacentral:rRNA from 1 species